CCUGGAGACUUCAACAUUGGAACAGUCUACAGGAUUGUCUACUGGAGAACUCACCCAGGAACUGUCCUCUGACCCAACGGGAGACACAUCCUCAGAUUCUCAGUUGGACACAACUCGGGAACCCCAGGUAUCACCAACCGGAAAACAUGGACCUGGUUUCACCACCUCCCUAGCGAGGUCUGCGAGCUCAGACCUGGAGACUUCAACAUUGGAACAGUCUACAGGAUUGUCUACUGGAGAACACACCCAGGAACUGUCCUCUGUCCCAGCCGGAGACACAUCCUCAGAUUUCCAUUCUGACACAACUUGGGAAUCCCUGGGGUCAUCGACCAGAG